ACGACGGUUUUAUCUUUAAGACGUCGUAUUUAUUCUCACACCAUGUCGUUUAUUAAGAACAGCCGUGAAUUUAAUUACCAUCGUGGUGUGUGAAUAAAAAGUCAAUACAAGACAAAACCGUCAUCCUCACAUGACCUGAGAGUGGGACUAGUGAUUUUUGUUCAAACCAGGGAAAGAUUUCAUCCUUUUCAAACCUGAGUCUUGUUUUGAACCUCGGUGGGACUCGUUGUUUAAAAAAAAAACUUCAAAUGAUAUUGAAAAAAGAAAAAGAGAGUGGGAGAAU
rnacentral:lncRNA from 1 species